rnacentral:rRNA from 1 species
GACGAACGCUGGCGGCGUGCUUAACACAUGCAAGUCGAACGGAAAGGCCCUGCUUUUGUUGGUUGCUCGAGUUGCGAACGGGAGAGUAACACGUGAGUAACGUGCCCUUGACUCUGGGAUUACUUCACGACACUGGGGCGAAUACCGUAUAGGAGCUUCUGCUGCAUGGGGGGGGUUGGAAUGUUUCGGCGGUUGUGGAUGGACUGGGGGGGUAUGAGCUUUUUGGUGGGGUUGUGGCUUUCCAAGGCUUUGACGGGUAGCCGGCCUGAGCGGGUGACAGGCCACGUUGGGACUGAGAUACGACCCAGCAGCGUACGGGAGGCAGCAGUGGGGAAUAUUGCACAAUGGGCAGGAGCCUGAAGCAGCGACGCCGCGUGAGGGAUGAAGGCCUUCGGGUUGUAAACCGCUUUCGCCUGUGACGAGGCGUGAGUGACGGUAAUGGGUAAAGAAGCACCGGCUAACUACGUG